UGGGGAAUAUUGCGCAAUGGGCGAAAGCCUGACGCAGCGACGCCGCGUGAGGGAUGAAGGUUCUCGGAUCGUAAACCUCUGUCAGAAGGGAAGAAACCGCACUGUGCUAAUCAGCAGUGCCUUGACGGUACCUUCAAAGGAAGCACCGGCUAACUCCGUGCCAGCAGCCGCGGUAAUACGGAGGGUGCAAGCGUUAAUCGGAAUUACUGGGCGUAAAGCGCACGUAGGCUGCUUUGUAAGUCAGGGGUGAAAUCCCACGGCUCAACCGUGAAACUGCCUUUUAUACUGCUUAGCUUGAAUCCGGGAGAGGGUGGCGGAAUUCCAGGUGUAGGAGUAAAAUCCGUAGAUAUCUGGAGGAACAUCAGUGGCGAAGGCGGCCACCUGGACCGGUAUUGACGCUGGGGUGCGAAAGCGUGGGGAGCAAACAGG
rnacentral:rRNA from 1 species